CGGUGUCAAUCUGAGGUGCUCUAGGUAUUGUCUGCUAGUGUUUAAAAUUUUCAGUGAGUACGAGGUGUCAAUUGUGAAUGCAUGGCGUUUGUAUGUUACAGCAUAAAUCAAAUAUCUUGAAAUGGACACAUCUUUCACUCUGAGCAACAGCCCUUCACCUGUAAAAAAAUCGGGAAACUCUCAGCGAGCAUUUGAACUAGCUGGGGAGCUAUAUAGCCAGAUCCAACAAUGGUAUCUCUUAAUCACUACAGGAAGAAAUAUAAUCAAUAACAUAUUGCAGCUGAAAACAAAAUUAUGGGAAAAUCCAGGUAAUGCUGCUGAUUUGUCGGAACUACAAUUCCAGUGUGAUCAACUUGGAUCAGUUGUUUCUGAACUGGAGGUGCUGCCUAAACAAAUGGAAAAAAUACAAGACCAGUACAAAGCAUUGGAAAAAUUGGGUGAACUUCAGAAAAAAAUUGGAUCAAACAUCACAUGUGAUUCCACACCAUUAAUGUUUCUUACUUGGCCAAACUCCAAAUUUGUUGUAGUUGUCACUUCCAUUAAAGAUGCUUUUAAUAAGGAGUUGCAAUUGAAAAAAUGCAUUGCUGAAAAUGUGGCACAUUGUCAGCAGAAACAAAUGCUUGAUUUACAUAAAAUUGCCUGGGUCCAUCAGGUUUAUGUAACUUAUACUACUAAGCUCCAGUUAGAAGCCCUCUUGGUAGAAACUGGUCAACGUUGAAGACAUUUAUUGGCAAUUGAAGAAUUUUAUUUCCCAGAUGAGAACUUUUUAAAGAUCGGCAUGUUUUAUACGUUAAAUACCAUAGAACACCGAUUUUUAAAAAGUGAUUUGAAAAAUGUCUUCAAAUGCAGAAAAUGCUAUUUAAUUUAAAACGACUUGCUAGAGAUCGCAUCCGAGGCGCUCUAUCUCUUCUGCGAAGAAUUCCAUGUCUUUCGUAUUGACACCCGAGCUUUGUAGAACUAGUCGGAAGAAGUUUGGCAAAUUUCUCAGCGGUUGGUAGGUGAUCAUCAUGCUGCCCUUUUUGAUCAUACGUUCUUUGAUCUUUGGAGCGAUCUAAAUCGAAUGCGGUUUUACGUAAAAAAGAAAUUCUCCUUUAAAUUGUAAAUCGAAGUAAGAGCUAUUGUACUCGGUGUAGCUUUUCAUGAUAAUCUUCGUCAUGCUGAGAAUUUCGAAGGCUUGGCGGAAUAUACCAAAAGCAUACGUUCACGAAUGAUGGCUCCUCUAGUACUAGUUUGAAACCUUCGCGAUCCCGAAUAAAUGAAGUGAAAUAGGCUGCAUUUUCAAAGAGUGUAUCCACAUGUCUUUCCAAGCCUAAACUUCCCUGCGAUAAGUUGAGAUGAAAGGGAAGAGCAAUGGCGUUAAGAUACUUGCUCGCUAGUUUUAAUUGGUUAGCAACAAUUCCUCCUAAGUUUAUUCUGUACAAUAAUUUGAGCAGUGUUUUUUUUUGUGAAAAUUUACCUUCGCUUGCCACAUCAGCCAAAAUUUGAGGACGUCUGCUCGUCGUCCGCAUUGCAGAUAUUUGUCUCCGACGUCCCACUUGGGAUCAUAAAACUUAUCUUUUUGAAACAAAUAAGACGCUGAAGCGGAAUUGGCCUCCAGGAGAAGGUUUAGAUGUCGUGUCAAAAAAGUGGAACACUGCUGAGGUACCCCAAGCAAUUUGUGGGGGUUCCACGUUACGGAAUCGGCUCUGGAUAUGACGAUGCUUUGUGGACAUAAGAGCUCCGCCUCCCCAUGCUGCGUCUACAUGCAUCCAUAGACCAAAUUCUUGACAUAUGUCAGCGAUCCCGUCAAGAGGAUCUGUUGAGCCUAAGACGGUGGUUCCUGCGGUUAUAUACAAUGCCGAUAAUUAAGAUAAGUAAGAUUUUGAUACUGGUAAAUUAUAUUGACCGGCUGUGGCCGACACCAUAAAUGGUCUGGCACCCUCCUUGAGAGCUCUUUGUAUUUCUUCUCGAAGAUGUGCGAGAUUCAUUCGACCAUCAUUAUCCACAUCUACUAGGUAAAGAUUGGAUGUGCCUAUUCCAAGAAGGAAACAAGCUUUCUUGAUUGAAUAAUGGGCAUCUUUGGACGUCAAAACCACUAGGCGACGUGAUGCAAAAGUUCCUUUUUCCUGAAAUUUCAAUAAAAGCUGAAAAAUCAGUUUCCUACCAUUGAAUGAUGCAACACAACCGUGUUUUCUAGAAAUUGCAACCUCAUAAGAAACAUUGGUUGAAAUCGAAUCCUUGGGUUUACUUUCAAAUCCGGCAUAGCGUGAUGUCGAGCACAUUGAAUCCCGUAUAUAUUAGCCAUUGAACCGCCUGGGCAAAAAACUCCAUCGCCACUGCCACCUGGGAAUCCUACGUAACGUCGCAUUUCGCAAAGAAGUUUAUGCUCCAGGAGCGUAAAAACAGGAGCAACUUCGUAUGUAUAAACACUGGGAUUCAAAGAAUCUGUUACCCACUGGGCCACAAGUCCGUAUGGAUCCAAACUAGUUUAAGGAAAAAAAUAAUCAAAGUUGAUUGAUGAAAUGUGGAUGACCAGUCUUUACGCUGUAACGUACAACGUCCUUUAUAAGUUUGAUUAGAUUGUCGUCCGAUUCAGGAUUUUUUGGCAGCUCUUCUCCCAGUAAAGCCAUCAAAGAUUCUGGCUCCAUCCAUUCGAUGACUAAACUAUCAUUUGACGUUCCCUGGAACACAGCUUCUUUCAACAGAACAUCAAUAACCUGUCGGAUGAAUUGUUCGUGUUGGUCUUUGGAAGGUUUUGUUUGAAAGCGAUCCAUUAAAGUUGGUGUUUCAGAGUUCAGUUUACAGUGCGAUAUAACGGUGUUAGUGUUGUCUUUUUGCAUUGUGGAACAAGUCGUGUACGCGUAACACGGUUGAAAGCUACCGACAAGCAGUGAAAAACUGAAAGAUCAAUUGUGGUCAGCUGCUUAUAUACUCCGGACACUAAAAUGGCUACAACGUACGUUCGAUCUCACUGAUCGCCUGUGAAUUGGACUCAGAGGGAAACUGAAACGACUUCACCAACCUUAUUCCCUACAUGGCAGGACAUAUUCCAAACGAAGGAUUUCCGUCGUGUUUUUACGAAGGAAGACAGCAAUUGCAGUUUGAUUUUCUACUUUCA